CAUUGGCUCAANCAAUGUAUGCUUUGGAAACUGUUAGACUUGAGUGCAGAAGGGGAGAGUGGAAUACCAUGUGUAGCGGUGAAAUGCGUAGAUAUAUGGAGGAACACCGGUGGCGAAAGCGGCUCUCUGNUCUGUCACUGACGCUGAGGCUCGAAAGCGUGGGUAGCGAACAGGAUUAGAUACCCUGGUAGUNCACGCCGUAAACGCUGAGUGCUAGGUGUUAGGUCCNUUCCGGGACUUAGUGCCGACGCUAACGCAUUAAGCACUCCGCCUGGGGAGUACGACCGCAAGGUUGAAACUCAAAGGAAUUGACGGGGGCCCGCACAAGCGGUGGAGCAUGUGGUUUAAUUCGAAGCAACGCGAAGAACCUUACCAGGUCUUGACAUCCCGAUGCCCGCUCUAGAGAUAGAGUUUUUCUUCGGAACAUCGGAGACAGGUGGUGCAUGGUUGUCGUCAGCUCGUGUCGUGAGAUGUUGGGUUAAGUCCCGCAACGAGCGCAACCCUUAUUGUUAGUUGCCAUCAUUAAGUUGGGCACUCUAGCGAGACUGCCGGUAAUAAACCGGAGGAAGGUGGGGAUGACGUCAAAUCAUCAUGCCCCUUAUGACCUGGGCUACACACGUGCUACAAUGGUUGGUACAACGAGUCGCAAGCCGGUGACGGCAAGCUAAUCUCUGAAAGCCAAUCUCAGUUCGGAUUGUAGGCUGCAACUCGCCUACAUGAAGUCGGAAUCGCUAGUAAUCGCGGAUCAGCACGCCGCGGUGAAUACGUUCCCGGGCCUUGUACACACCGCCCGUCACACCACGAGAGUUUGUAACACCCAAAGUCGGUGAGGUAACCAUUUAUGGGGCCAGCCGCCUAAGGUGGGANGGA
rnacentral:rRNA from 1 species